UACAGAGGUCUCAACCGUUGGUCGGAUUCAUUGGGCGUAAAGGGUGCGUAGGCGGCGGGGUAAGUCAGGUGUGAAAUCCCGGAGCUCAACUCCGGAACUGCACUUGAUACUGCCUUGCUCGAGUACUGGAGAGGAGACUGGAAUUUACGGUGUAGCAGUGAAAUGCGUAGAUAUCGUAAGGAAGACCAGUGGCGAAGGCGAGUCUCUGGACAGUUACUGACGCUGAGGCACGAGGGCCAGGGGAGCAAACGGG
rnacentral:rRNA from 1 species